rnacentral:snoRNA from 13 species
UAUUCCAAACAUACUGAUGAUACUUCCAUGCACCACUCUGAUGCUUUUUAAGCAACGUGCAGAUUAUGGAUAUUCUGAAAAAU